CGGGCGGUUGCCGCGGCAGUCUGGCCUGGAGGAGCCCGGGCCCGUUUCUCCGCCCCCUCCCCGCCCAGGCUCAGUAAACAGGGCCGGAGCGCCGGGCCUGCCGGGCAGGGCUGAGUGUCUGAGGACAAGGCGCUGGCUUUGCUAAUCACAUCACAAGACCUUGAGCCAGGGCCAAAGGCGCGGAGUGGCGCGGGGCGUCCCGGGCGGGGGGGCCAACUCGGAGGACGGGAGGGAGGGAGGGACGGGAGAGCCGUGCAGGCAUGGAGGCGACUUCCCGCCGCGCCUUUCGUUUGCUGGUCUGCUAGGCCUUGCCCAGCCUUCCCGGAGCUUUGGAUACCGCUGCCGGCCGAGGCUCCCCGCCGGACGCAUCCUUGGCCUGUCGCGUUCUCUAGGCCACUUUCUCUCCCAGUGUGGUUGUGUUGGUGGUGGGUUACGUCCCGCUUUUGCUCGUCGCGGGUUGUAGGAACCGACCGAGGCAGGCCUCGCAGCCCAGACUCUAAAAGCUGGAACAAAUGUACACACUGUGACUGAAAUAGCUUUUUCAGUUACCUAGGAUGAAAAAUGAAUGAGAAUGAGCCUAUGAUCUGUCCGAGCUAUGAAUGUCAAGAUAACCGUCUGAAUGUUCCAGAUGUACUCCCACCCUCCCCAAAUGGUCUUUUCUUCAACAUGCCAUUUCUGCCCUUGGGAGAGUUAACAGAUUCACUUCUGCAGGAGAGUCUGGAGCGCUGAGAACCAGGGUGUCU